rnacentral:rRNA from 1 species
CGGUGCGCCAAAGCAUUUAUUAGUCUAAACCUUCGACUGUGGUGUGAAUCACGGUGAGGCGAAUCUGGAUAACUUUGCUGAUCGUAUGGCCUAGUGCCGGCGACGUUUCAAUUGAGUUUCUGCCCUAUCAACUUGUUGGUAAGGUAUUGGCUUACCAAGGUUGCAACGGGUAACGGGGAAUCAGGGUUCGAUUCCGGAGAGGGAGCCUGAGAAACGGCUACCACAUCCAAGGAAGGCAACAGGCGCGCAAAUUACCCAAUCUAGACAGUAGGAGGUGGUGAAGAGAAUUACUAAAUGGUGGUCCAAUGGAUCAUUUGUUUGGAAUGAACGUAACUUAAGAAAUUCGUUGAUAAACAACUGGAGGGCAAGUCCUGGUGCCAGCAGCCGCGGUAAUUCCAGCUCCAGUAGUUUGCUUUAAAGUUGUUGCGUUUAAAACGCUCGUAGUUGGAUCACGCAGCAGUGUCCGGUUAUCUUUUGUCCGACUCGGCUGGGCGUGUCCGUCUCUGACGGCCGUUUGGCAGUUUUGGUACUAGAUGCUAUGCCGGAUGCUGUUAGUUGCACGUGAGAUGGAUUGUUGGCCUUGAAUGCGCCGGUAUUCUCGUCUUGCGGGGUGUGCCUUGAAUAAAACAGAGUGCUUAAAGCAGGUUUUUGCCUGAAUGUUAUAGCAUGGAACGAACAAUCGUGUAUAUGUGCGUGCUGUUGGGUAGUUGCGAGCCUUUGGUUUGCAGUUGUCCGCGGCGCGCACGGCACCCACCUGAAUAUGGCUGUUGGUUCCAUAUACGGUGAUGAUUAACAGGAGCGGUUGGGGGCAUCAGUAUUUGGCCGCGAGAGGUGAAAUUCUUAGACCGGCCAAGGACUAACAAUUGCAAAGGCAUUUGUCUAGACCGUAUCCAUUAAUCAAGAACGAAAGUGGGAGGUUCGAAGACGAUCAGAUACCGUCGUAGUUCCCACCGUAAACUAUGCCGACCUGGGAUCAGUCUGGAGAUAUACAAGCUCUAGAUUGGUCCCCCUGGGAAACCUAAAGUUUUUCGGUUACGGGGAGAGUAUGGUCGCAAGGCUGAAACUUAAAGGAAUUGACGGAAGGGCACCACCAGGGGUGGAGCUUGCGGCUUAAUUUGACUCAACACGGGGAAACUUACCUAGUCCGGACAUCGAUAGGAUUUACAGAUCAAUAGCUCUUUAAUGAUCCGAUGAGUGGUGGUGCAUGGCCGUUCUUAGUUCGUGGAGUGAUCUGUCAGUUUAAUUACGGUAACGAACGAGACCAAAGUCUCCAUUUAAAAGAUGAAAGAAGGCGGCAUUCAAGUGAUCGCAAGGUUGUUUGGGUGUUGCUGUCGGAGGUGUGGCGUGCUUGGUGGUUGAUGGGUGGGGCAACCUGUUUGUUGACUGCCGAGUGUGCUGCAUUUCCCUUUCAUUACGCAGCAGUCGGUCUCGGCUGGCUGUUGCCUUAUGGAGAGACAACGAGGUAUAAACAAGCUCGAGGAAGUUUGGCUAUAACAGG